GGAGAGAUGGCCGAGCGGCUGAAGGCACAUGACUGGAAAUCAUGUAUACCCGCAAGGGUAUCCAGGGUUCGAAUCCCUGUCUCUCCG
rnacentral:tRNA from 1 species